GACCAGCAUACACCAACUAACAACGUACAAGAAAGAAUGGGUUAAGAAAUCUUACUUUUCACUAUUUGAAGAACAAUAAAAACUGUGGUGAAAAUAACAUACCACAGCCAGAGCAGUUCCAAUCUUUUUAUUUGCAAAAUUAAAAUGGAAACAAGGUAUUCUCAGCAACCAAUACUCUACCCUACCAACAAAAACAACCUUGACGACGAUAGUUAGAACAACAUUUGUGGGAAUAUUCUUUCUCAAGUAGUUCUAUGUCUUUCCAUCUAGAAGUCAAACUCCAGUCUGCACAUGAGAUACCAUGUGUAGACUUGAGAUAUUGAACUUGAGCUACCAUGCAAGAAAAAUGCAUCCUUUACAGUCAAAUUCAUCAGUAACUAAACUUGAGCUACCAUGCAAUAAAAAAUUUCAGAUAUGCAAAUCAAAUAAAACACUAAAUUGAGAGUUUAAUCAAAAAGCCAGAUAAAAAUUAACAGAUUUCAAAAACAAAAACACAUUUACGAGGUCUGUAAAAAAAAGACCUAAAAAGAAUACAAGUACCUUUGACCUUAGGUCAAACUGAAAAAAAUGAAUAAAGAAAAUCCGAUUUGGCAUAAUUGGAGCAAAUAUCAUUCUGUUGUAAGCUCCUCCACAAAUUUCCUCUUUGAAUUUCAUCAAAUUUGGUUUGAGUCAUACAUUUGACUGGAAAAAGGAAAAAUCAAAAGAUAAACCGAGCUGGAGGUAGAAAAAGUACUAUGUGCAAGUAAAGAUUAGAUAGAAAUAGAGCAUUGUUGUAAGUUGUGAUGGAGAGAGAAAAAA
rnacentral:lncRNA from 1 species